rnacentral:rRNA from 1 species
AGAGUUUGAUCCUGGCUCAGGGUGAACGCUGGCGGCGUGCCUAAUACAUGCAAGUCGAGCGGACCUUUCGGGGUCAGCGGCGGACGGGUGAGUAACACGUGGGCAAUCUGCCCGAUACUCUGGGAUAACGCUUGGAAACGAGUGCUAAUACCGGAUGGUCUUCUUGGCCGCAUGGCCGAGAAGGAAAAGACGCGUUCGCGUCGGUGUCGGAUGAGCCCGCGGCGCAUUAGCUAGUUGGUGAGGUAACGGCCCACCAAGGCGACGAUGCGUAGCCGACCUGAGAGGGUGACCGGCCACACUGGGACUGAGACACGGCCCAGACUCCUACGGGAGGCAGCAGUAGGGAAUCUUCCACAAUGGGCGAAAGCCUGAUGGAGCAACGCCGCGUGAGUGAUGAAGGCCUUCGGGUUGUAAAACUCUGUCAUUCGGGACGAACCGGAGUCUGAGGAAAUGCAGACUCUCUGACGGUACCGGAGGAGGAAGCCCCGGCUAACUACGUGCCAGCAGCCGCGGUAAUACGUAGGGGGCAAGCGUUGUCCGGAUUCACUGGGCGUAAAGCGCGCGCAGGCGGUGAUGUAAGUCUGAGGUGAAAACCCGAAGCUCAACUUCGGGACUGCCUUGGAUACUGCGUCACUUGAGGAUAGGAGAGGCAAGGGGAAUUCCACGUGUAGCGGUGAAAUGCGUAGAGAUGUGGAGGAACACCGUGGCGAAGGCGCCUUGCUGGCUUAUUUCUGGCGCUGAGGCGCGAAAGCGUGGGGAGCAAACAGGAUUAGAUACCCUGGUAGUCCACGCUGUAAACGAUGAGUGCUAGGUGUAGGUGGGCUCAUACCCAUCUGUGCCGAAGCUAACGCAUUAAGCACUCCGCCUGGGGAGUACGGUCGCAAGACUGAAACUCAAAGGAAUUGACAGGGGCCCGCACAAGCAGUGGAGCAUGUGGUUUAAUUCGAAGCAACGCGAAGAACCUUACCAGGACUUGACAUCCCAUAGACCAGUCUAGAGAUAGACUUUCCCUUCGGGGCUGUGGUGACAGGUGGUGCAUGGUUGUCGUCAGCUCGUGUCGUGAGAUGUUGGGUUAAGUCCCGCAACGAGCGCAACCCUUACUUUGUGUUGCCAGCAUUCAGUUGGGCACUCACAAGGGACUGCCGCCGAUAAGGCGGAGGAAGGUGGGGAUGACGUCAAAUCAUCAUGCCCCUUAUGUCCUGGGCUACACACGUGCUACAAUGGGCGGUACAACGGGAUGCGAAGCCGCGAGGUGGAGCCAAACCCUGAAAACCGUUCGUAGUUCGGAUUGUAGGCUGCAACUCGCCUACAUGAAGCCGGAAUUGCUAGUAAUCGCGGAUCAGCAUGCCGCGGUGAAUCCGUUCCCGGGCCUUGUACACACCGCCCGU